CCUUCUACCACCACGCUUGUGUGGAUGUCGAACAUCCAGAGAAUGCAUGGGAACGGGCCCAAAGACAGGACUCUUAGUGGGCAACCCGGCCAUUGCCCUCUCCGCCGCAUCCAUCGACCCCGCGAACUGUGUCAGCUGCUCCAGCGCCGCGAUCGCCACAGCGGCUGCUGGAUUCAUCCCCGGCUGCACCACCACACUUACCGAACUCUGAUGGGGAGGAUAAUACCUCUGCUGCUGCGCCGCCUGCAACGAUA
rnacentral:misc_RNA from 1 species